rnacentral:rRNA from 1 species
CGAUCGAUAACUGGUCUGAGAGGAUGAUCAGUCUGACUGGAACUGAGACACGGUCCAGACUCCUACGGGAGGCAGCAGUAGGGAAUUUUCCACAAUGGGCGAAAGCCUGAUGGAGCAACGCCGCGUGCAGGAUGAAGGCCCUCGGGUCGUAAACUGCUUUUAUGUGAGAAGAAUAUGACGGUAACACAUGAAUAAGGGUCGGCUAACUACGUGCCAGCAGCCGCGGUCAUACGUAGGACCCAAGCGUUAUCCGGAAUUACUGGGCGUAAAGAGUUGCGUAGGUGGCAUUAUAAGUGGAGCGUGAAAGCGUGCGGCUCAACCGCAUUACUGCGUUCCAAACUGUGAAGCUUGAGUGCGAGAGAGGUAGAUGGAAUUCCCAGUGUAGGAGUGAAAUCCGUAGAUAUUGGGAGGAACACCGAUGGCGUAGGCAGUCUACUGGCUCGUUACUGACACUAAGGCACGAAAGCGUGGGGAGCAAACGGGAUUAGAUACCCCGGUAGUCCACGCCGUAAACUAUGGAUGCUAGCUGUUACUCACAUCGACCUGAGUAGUAGCGAAGUUAACGCGUUAAGCAUCCCGCCUGGGGAGUACGGUCGCAAGAUUAAAACUCAAAGGAAUUGACGGGGACCCGCACAAGCGGUGGAGCGUGUUGUUUAAUUCGAUGGUAAGCGAAGAACCUUACCAAGGCUUGAAAUCCCGAUAGAGAUUCUUCGAAAGAAGAGUUGCAUUUAGUUGGAUCGGUGACAGGUGAUGCAUGGCCGUCGUCAGCUCGUGUCGUGAGAUGUAUGGUUAAGUCCAUUAACGAGCGCAACCCUUAUGUUUAGUUGGAUUUUUCUAAACAGACUGCCCUGGCAACAGGGAGGAAGGGGGGGAUGAUGUCAGGUCAGUAUUUCCCUUACGUCUUGGGCUACAAACACGCUACAAUGGCCGGUACAAAGGGCAGCCAACCCGCGAGGGGGAGCAAAUCCCAUCAAAACCGGUCUCAGUUCGGAUUGCAGGCUGAAACUCGCCUGCAUGAAGCUGGAAUCGCUAGUAACGGUAAGUCAGCACAUUACCGUGAAUACGUUCCCGGGUCUUGUACACACCGCCCGUCAAACCAUGAAAGUGGCCAACACCCAAAGUCUGAGCUUUGCCUCGGCCUAAGGUGGGGGACAUGAUUGGGGUUAAGUCGUAACAAGGUAUCCGUACCGGAAGGUGCGGAUG